rnacentral:rRNA from 1 species
AUUGAACGCUGGCGGCAUGCCUUACACAUGCAAGUCGAACGGCAGCACGGGGGCAACCCUGGUGGCGAGUGGCGAACGGGUGAGUAAUAUAUCGGAACGUACCCUGGAGUGGGGGAUAACGUAGCGAAAGUUACGCUAAUACCGCAUACGAUCUACGGAUGAAAGUGGGGGCUCGCAAGACCUCAUGCUCCUGGAGCGGCCGAUAUCUGAUUAGCUAGUUGGGGGGUAAAGGCCUACCAAGGCGACGAUCAGUAGCUGGUCUGAGAGGACGACCAGCCACACUGGGACUGAGACACGGCCCAGACUCCUACGGGAGGCAGCAGUGGGGAAUUUUGGACAAUGGGGGCAACCCUGAUCCAGCAAUGCCGCGUGAGUGAAGAAGGCCUCGGUUGUAAG